GAAUGUUACAGCUGUUUUAGAAAAUUUGUCUAGUAGACUUUCUGGGAGGUCUUUACCAGAAAGCCUCC
rnacentral:snRNA from 1 species